UUCGUAACUCAGUGGUUAGAGUGCCGGUCUUUUAAACCGAGGGUCGUGGGGUC
rnacentral:tRNA from 16 species